GACGAACGCUGGCGGCGUGCUUAACACAUGCAAGUCGAACGGUGAAGCGCCUUCCUUUUUGGUGGGUGUGGAUGAGUGGCGAACGGGUGAGUAACACGUGAGUAACCUGCCCCCUUCUUCUGGAUAACCGCAUGAAAGUGUGGCUAAUACGGGAUAUUCUGGGUCUGUCGCAUGAUGGGUCUGGGAAAGAUAUUGUUUCGGUGGGGGAUGGGCUCGCGGCCUAUCAGCUUGUUGGUGGGGUGAUGGCCUACCAAGGCGGUGACGGGUAGCCGGCCUGAGAGGGUGGACGGUCACACUGGGACUGAGACACGGCCCAGACUACUACGGGAGGCAGCAGUGGGGAAUAUUGCACAAUGGGCGCAAGCAUGAUGCAGCGACGCCGCGUGAGGGAUGGAGGCCUUCGGGUUGUGAACCUCUUUCGCCAGUGAAGCAGGCCUGCCUCGUUUGUGGGUGGGUUGACGGUAGCUGGAUAAGAAGCGCCGGCUAACUACGUG
rnacentral:rRNA from 1 species